AGAAAACAGAGAACAUAAGCUGCAUCUACAGCUCACCAUUCUCAAGUAGGCCCUAGCAAUUAUGUUCCAAGUAUUAAGUAGUAUUCAUUAAUUGGUAGCAAAAUAUAAGACUCUCAUAGACUUUUUCUGCCUGUCUGGGUUGAAAAUGCCAUCAUUCCAAGUCUCAUAGUCCUGAUUAGCUAGAAUUAGUCAUAGCCCAACGGCCCCUGGCAUAAAUGUAUGCAUUUUAAAAGACUCUAUAGUAUAAGGCUAUGUUCUGGGGCUGGGAAUAUGGCCUAGU